rnacentral:snRNA from 1 species
AGAUGUGAGCAUGAUCUGGCUGCCACAUCUGACACCCUGUUGAUCACCAGGGUUGAUACAGCUGUUCUGGCUGGGUAGGUGGGUGUCCCUUUCCUCCUCACUGCUCCAUGUAUGUCCCUCCUGAAGCUCUGUGCUCAGUUGGAGAGGACCACCUUCCCCAGUAGAGGAAGUCCGGGGCAUAUGUAGCUGCGCUCCCCACUAGAACCUCCAAACAAGCUCUCAAAGUCCAUUUGUAGGAGAACAUAGGGUAGUCAAGCUUCCAAGACCCUAGACACAGCCAAACAAGGUGCUAUGUGGCAGUCUGCCUUUCCUC